rnacentral:rRNA from 1 species
CGUCUUUUGGUUAAUUUAAUAAAAGAUAUACCCUGCCCAAUGAGGAAAUUGAAUGGCCGCAGUAUUUUGACUGUGCGAAGGUAGCAUAAUCAUUAGUCUAUUAAUUGUGGACUGGUAUGAAUGGUUGGAUGAAAAGAAGCUAUUUUUUUUAUAAAGUUAAAUUUUAGUUCUUUGUGAAGACGCUAAGAUAGUUAUAAAAGACGAGAAGACCCUAUUAAGCUUUACAUUUUAUUUAUUUAMAAGUUUAUUAUAAAGAAAAUGUUAUGUUGGGGCGACAAUAUAAUAUAAAUAACUUUUAUUAAGAGUUGAUAUAAAUAAGKAUAGAASAAGUAGGAUCCAAAAUUYUUGAUUGGAAGAACAAGUUACUAUAGGGAUAMCAGCGUAAUCUUAUUGGAGAGAUCUUAUUGAUAAUAAGGAUUGCGACCUCGAUGUUGAAUUAGGAUACCUUUAGGGUGUACCCGUUUUAGAAGGUAGUC